rnacentral:rRNA from 1 species
CUACGGGAGGCAGCAGUAGGGAAUUUUGCGCAAUGGGCGAAAGCCUGACGCAGCAACACCGCGUGCAUGAUGAAGCUCUUUUAGAGUGUAAAAUGCUGUCAGAGGGGACGAAUUUUUGACGGUACCCUCAGAGGAAGCAUCGGCUAACUACGUGCCAGCAGCCGCGGUAAGACGUAGGAUGCAAGCGUUGUCCGGAAUCAUUGGGCGUAAAGAGUUCGUAGGCGGCAUAUCAAGUCUGGUGUCAAAGCCCGGAGCUUAACUCCGGUUCGGCACUGGAAACUGAUAAGCUUGAACCAAGCAGAGGCAAGGGGAAUUCCCAGUGUAGCGGUGAAAUGCGUAGAUAUUGGGAGGAACACCAGUGGCGUAAGCGCCUUGCUGGGCUUGUGUUGACGCUGAGGAACGAAAGCCAGGGUAGCGAAUGGGAUUAGAUACCCGCGUAGUC